rnacentral:misc_RNA from 1 species
GAUUACUCAACUCUGUCUCAAAUUGUACUCAACUGGAGAUCUGCCGAAAUUGAAAAUUAUCUACUUGUGUUUAUUGAGUAUCACUUCUGCUAACUAAUGUUUUAUUUACUAACGAUUGUUUAUACAUUUUCUUAGCUUGUAGUUAUACUGUAUUAAACUCAGUUGAACAUUUUCAAAUAUUAAUGCUUCUGCAAUUUUAAAAUCACAGAAAAUGAUUAAUAAAUAGGCCCGAAAGUGGAAAAUAAUAUUGUUUUUUGCAGACCAAACAACAUUAGAAAUUUACGUUAUUAACAUAUCAGAUGCAUUUCACUCCACCAUGUUCGUUUGCUGGGAACAAUACUCCUGCCCAUUUGGACCCAAGAAGAGUAGAGUACAUCAAAUCAGGUGCAAUGUUAAACCAAAUCGACAUGGGAGAUUACCAGCCUUUGAGAUCAGAUGACGCUCACACCAACAACCAUGUACCUGUCCACAAUAAGCCCACUGUCUACUAUUCGAAGCCCAUGUCUCCUCUACGAAAGCUGGCCUUCGGCUGUUCCAUUUUGUUGUGCUUCAUUACCAUUGUGGUGUUCUUGUGGGUUGUACCGUGCGACUGGUCCAAGUGUCCAGCUAAAACUCAACGCCAACCAAUUAUGUCUUGGGAUCGCUCUGUGGAAGGAAUGGAAAUAAUGGGACCUUUGAAGGUGGUACGAGGCUUGCAAGGACUAAAUAUAGUAGCUAUGUACCGAGGACCUAUGCUGGCGUAUGAUGGAGCAAGGGAUCAGUUCCUUCCAAAGGCAGGAGGUUUGAUAUCGUUUAUUGGAGCGAGUGGACUUAUAGCCUGGUUCAGAAAACUGCCUUUACUGACUCAUCUGGACUGUUUUAUGCUUCACAUUGGCGAUGAGUCCAUGCAAGAUUGUUUAGUGAGGGGAGAGCACGGCUAUCUGGCACUGAUUGACUCUCUUUCAGGUAUUGCAAAAUGGAGGGCACAAAAAACCAUUGGAGAUCAGCUACUUGUGGACGUGUCAUUUCCCGUGGUGACGCCUGAUGUGGAUGGAGAUUGGUAUCACGACUUAGCAGUUACUGGCCGUCUGGAGAACAGGAACCAUCGCAUCAUUGCUAUUAUUUCUGGCCAAACUGGGUAUAUCAUGGGGAAGCCAAUGGAGGUGGAAGGUUGUACUGAUAUCAACAACCUCACUCUGGACAGAGACUACACAUUGUACUACACAUGCAAGAACAGCACUAGCAAAUUGUUCAGCGAGCGUCAGGUGGCUUUGGUGAAUGCGGUGCAGAUGAUGACAAACCGCUCAGUGGUUCCACACGGAACUGUACCGGUGACAACACGGCACCUUGGCAAUGAGUGGAGUGUCAACGGCUACAGACUCAACCUGGUCAACUCCGGCCACUCACCCUCUGACUAUCAGGUGAGUGUAACAGUGACUGACCACAACAACCAGAGUGUGUGGAGUCCGACCAUGCAACAAACCUACGCUAUGACACCCGUCGUCCUUCACUUCCAGCAGGCCAUCUCAGGCUUCCUGCUCAAGUUCUGGUAUUGGCAUGCACCCCAUGAUCAGAAGAAGGACAAGGAGGGAAACAUAAUGAAUAGCCUGAGUGAACGUGUGGUUUUGGUUACGUUCAAUGCCACCGGGAGCACUCACAUCGUUAAUGCCAGUCAGACCGACAUUGUGCAGCUCUGCUCCAAUCGAACUUGCCAACCCGAGCUGUCCAGCCAAACUGAGUCUUUGUUGAUAGUGGACCUGGAUGAGGAUGGUUCUCAGGAACUGAUCUCUUACCUCGUGACAUUUCAACCUCGGGAAAAGUCUGCUCCUGCCCUACCUUUAUGGAAGCUACAGACCAAGUUGAGGCUGAUACGGCUGGAAUCCGAACUCCCCAAACUGUACGAAGCCAUUCAACGCCACUAAGAGACACAUCCGUUCUCUACCCUUGCUGGUUUCAAGAUUCAAAUCCCUUUAUUUUUUACAUUGGAAUACUGAAGUAAGAGCAGUACUGCCUCAGCACAACCUCUCUUACAAGCUUGCUCCAUAGCAUGUGGCAUUCUACCGUGAGGUUCAUCAGGAUCAGCUCCAUGUUGCAACAACAACAUCCUUAUACAUCUCACAGCAGUGCUCACAUUAUAAUAAUUCAUAGCAGCUAAGCAGGCGCAUAUCGGAUCGGUGUAGCUGAUUAAACUAACUUUACUUACCACUUUUAAGGGACUUCCAUGAUUAAUCAAUGCUAAUAAGAAUUCUAGGGUCUUUUCACCAAAAUUGUACAUCUGCAUCUCAAGCAAAUACGAUAUGGGUGUAAGCAAUGUCAAGCCUUUCUUUCCCCAGUCCUCGUCACGAAUCUCAGGGCAUUGUAGAACAGCUGGAUCAAAAUUUGAUUUCAAUACCUUAACUAAAAACGAUAAAUCUUCCGUGUCAAUAGCAAGACAUAUCAAACUAUCAAUUGUUUUUAUUUUGGAUAUAACUUCAAAAUCUCUAUCCUCAUCGAAUGUGCAGUACUUCAAAAUAAAUUUAUCACUGGUUACCCUGUGUAGUGCAUUAAAUAUAUCAAAAUCUACACAGGAAGUACAUGCAUGAUGAAGAGGUGUAUAAUUGAUAUUAUCUGCAACAUUAGCAUUUGCCCCUUGUGAUAAUAACGCUUCAACAACUGAUAAGUUAUGAGAUUGAACAGCCAACAUUAGAGGAGUACGUCCAUCCUUAUUGCGAAAAUUGAUCAAAUCACGUUGUGUAGAGGAGGUAAAUAAUAGGGUCAAAGUUUUUAAAAGACCACUUUGGCAUGCAAAAUGAAAAGGAAGUUUCCUUCGUCUUCUAAAACAUCAGGAUUAGCAUUGUGCCUCAGAAGAAAAUGACAAAUUUCAUGUAUCAUUUCAUCUUGUUGCACUCGAACCCCUCUUCUAGAGGUGGGAUAAAGAACUGCUUCAUGAAGAGCUGUAUAACCUUUGUAAUCCUGAGCAUUUACUUGCGCUCCAAAUUCCACAAGAAGUUGCACAAUUUUGAAGUUUCCUUUACUACAAGCCACAUUCAGAGGACGAACUUCUUCAAUGUUGGCAAGGUUCACAUCGCACUUUGACUGUUUCAACAACAGAUUCACAGCAUUCAGACAACCAUUCUCGCACGCAAGAAAUAGUGGAGUGUUUCCUAGAAACGUUUGUGAGUUUACAUCAGCAGGAUACCAUUCAACACCUUGUUUGUCCAUUUGCAAAAACCGGUGCAGUUGUAGCCAUGCUACACUUCUUUAACCAGUAAUUUGAUAACAGCUUCAUACACUUUUCUAUGAAGCAGUCUCAUUAAACUCUAUCAAAAGCCAGCUUUUUUGGGAGUUCAUCCAUUAUCAGAUUUAUAGUAACUUAAUUCUACCAAAUUCCAGGCUUGGUGAUUUCUCUUCAUUUGAAUCUUAAAGGUUUUACUCUUAUAAAAGCUUGAAUCUGAUGGUUCACUCCCACUUUUUUUACUCAUUAUUAAUAGGCUUAAUUUAAUUUAAAUAUAAAAUAAAAUAAUAAACUACAACUAAUUAAAUACAGCACAGCUCCAAACAGUACACAAAAAUGCCUUGAUAAAAAAAGCGUUUACCAAACACUUUCAGGAUAAAAUAAGCAUUUUCCCUACUCCAUAUAAUAAAAAAAACAAACAUUUAAUUUUGACCCAGUCCUGCCAACUUCAAAUAUUUGUUAAACAAGCACUAAGAAAAGAGAAACUUCUAUUGUCUUGUUGUCUAGGCUUUACAUUUAAGUUUUCUUUUUGAUGGUGAUUAUAACAAAAUGAGACAUUUUUUAUCCUUUUUGACUUAAGAAACAGAAAUAAAUCACUGAGCUACAGCAUGUAACUGUGUCAAUUUUUCUUCAACUUAUGAAUAUUUAAAUAACUACAAUUUCAAACAUCUUGACUUUCCUGUGUAUCUAUUAAUGUUUACAUGCUGUAAUUAUUAUGCAAACUUUAUUUAAAAAUAUAUAAAUGUAAAACAUACUCACAGAUAAGAGUCAUCGAAAGGUUAGAACUUUUAAUUUUGUACGUUUUUGCUUCAUAGCAAAAUUUAUAACCUUUUAGUAAGUUUUCUUAAAUAUGAUUUUAUAGUGAGAUAUACUUAUCUUACUCAUAUUUAAAAAUUAGUACAGUUUGAUGUGGUUCAGAUUGCUGUGAUCAGCAAAGGAUUGUUAGUAUUUGUUUUAGAUUUAACUAUUAUAAUUAGGAUAUGAAUAAUUUAUUAUUGUUAUGUUUGUUGUUUAUUUAUUAUGAAUGUCGAUUUUAGUAAUCAUAAUGAUUAGAUGUUAAGAAUAUUUUUGAUGAGUUGCUUAGUUUAUAACUAAAAUGAGUAUUUUAAUUUUUCAAAUUAAACUUUAUAACAAACUUAUCAAUUUCUUUGGGAUUGAGACUACAGAUGAGAAUUUAAAACCUUGCCAUGUACGUAUAUUUGUACCCUGCUCUCUUGUAUUGGAUUGUAAAGUAAGGUUAUUGAAUUGGUUAAGAAUGUUUUAAAUAUAUGUGGAGAAAUGGAUGAAAAAGCUUAAAACAUGUUGCCUGUAUGCUUCUCAACAGUAUACUGAUAAAUGGUGCUUUGAUGUGAUGUUCCGAUCUUUUUGUGGUUUUUCGCUUUAAGUGGAACAGCUGUGUAAGAACAAACAGUCCGAGAAGUCCAAUAGUUAUUGGGGCCGCUUUACUUGCUCUAAUAAAUAGAAUAGUUAUAAGUUGUAACUAAUUCUUAUUUUUAAUAAGUUAAUUUAAAAUACUUUUUUGUAUCUUUGUUUUAGUUCAGUGUAAAAUAGACUGUAAGAUCACCACAUGACAAAAAUACCAAGCUGUAAAAAGUUAACACGUAAUAAAUUAUACAUCAUACUACGUACAGUAGAAACAUCUAAUGGUGAACUUUUGAAAAACCACAGUGAUAUUUGGAGCGUUGUUUAAAAAAAAUUUAUAUAAUGCAUUUGUAAGUGUUAGAAAAUUGCUUAAAUGGACAUAACAAGAA